UACAGAGGGGGCAAGCGUUGUUCGGAAUUACUGGGCGUAAAGGGCGCGUAGGCGGCCUGUUAAGUCGGACGUGAAAUCCCCGGGCUCAACCCGGGAACUGCGUCCGAUACUGGCAGGCUUGAAUCCGGGAGAGGGAUGUGGAAUUCCAGGUGUAGCGGUGAAAUGCGUAGAUAUCUGGAGGAACACCGGUGGCGAAGGCGACAUCCUGGACCGGUAUUGACGCUGAGGCGCGAAAGCCAGGGGAGCAAACGGG
rnacentral:rRNA from 1 species